UAAAGGAAGCGAUUCCGGCUACGGAUGGUCAUGCGUCGCAUUAGCUAGUUGGCGGGGUAACGGCCCACCAAGGCGACGAUGCGUAGGGGUUCUGAGAGGAAGGUCCCCCACACUGGUACUGAGACACGGACCAGACUCCUACGGGAGGCAGCAGUGAGGAAUAUUGGUCAAUGGCCGCAGGGCUGAACCAGCCAAGUCGCGUGAGGGAUGACGGUCCUAUGGAUUGUAAACCUCUUUUGUCAGGGAGCGAAGGGCGCCACGUGUGGCGCUUUGCGAGUACCUGAAGAAAAAGCAUCGGCUAACUCCGUGCCAGCAGCCGCGGUAAUACGGAGGAUGCGAGCGUUAUCCGGAUUUAUUGGGUUUAAAGGGUGCGCAGGCGGAAUGUCAAGUCAGCGGUAAAAUUUCGGGGCUCAACCCCGUCGUGCCGUUGAAACUGGCGUUCUUGAGUGAGCGAGAAGUAUGCGGAAUGCGUGGUGUAGCGGUGAAAUGCAUAGAUAUCACGCAGAACUCCGAUUGCGAAGGCAGCAUACCGGCGCUCAACUGACGCUCAUGCACGAAAGCGUGGGUAUCGAACAGGAUUAGAUACCCUGGUAGUCCACGCAGUAAACGAUGAAUACUAACUGUCCGGGCAGAAUGAUGCCUGG
rnacentral:rRNA from 1 species